rnacentral:rRNA from 1 species
UACGGAGGGGGCAAGCGCAGUGCGGAAUCAUUGGGCGUAAAGCGCGUGUAGGCGGCUUGGCAAGUCAGGUGUGAAAUCCCGGGGCCCAACAACGGAACUGCAUUCGAAACUGCCUCGCUAGAGUCCCGGAGAGGAAGGCGGAAUUCCCGGUGUAGAGGUGAAAUGCGUAGAUAGCGGGAGGAACACCAGCGGCGAAUGCGGCCUUCUGGACGGUGACUGACGCUCAGACGCGAAAGCGUGGGGAGCAAACAGG